AGUAGAACGCUGAAGAGAGGAGCUUGCUCUUCUUGGAUGAGUUGCGAACGGGUGAGUAACGCGUAGGUAACCUGCCUUGUAGCGGGGGAUAACUAUUGGAAACGAUAGCUAAUACCGCAUAACAAUGGAUGACUCAUGUCAUUUAUUUGAAAGGGGCAAAUGCUCCACUACAAGAUGGACCUGCGUUGUAUUAGCUAGUAGGUGAGGUAACGGCUCACCUAGGCGACGAUACAUAGCCGACCUGAGAGGGUGAUCGGCCACACUGGGACUGAGACACGGCCCAGACUCCUACGGGAGGCAGCAGUAGGGAAUCUUCGGCAAUGGGGGCAACCCUGACCGAGCAACGCCGCGUGAGUGAAGAAGGUUUUCGAAUCGUAAAGCUCUGUUGUAAGUCAAGAACGAGUGUGAGAGUGGAAAGUUCACACUGUGACGGUAGCUUACCAGAAAGGGACGGCUAACUACGUGCCAGCAGCCGCGGUAAUACGUAGGUCCCGAGCGUUGUCCGGAUUUAUUGGGCGUAAAGCGAGCGCAGGCGGUUUGAUAAGUCUGAAGUUAAAGGCUGUGGCUCAACCAUAGUUCGCUUUGGAAACUGUCAAACUUGAGUGCAGAAGGGGAGAGUGGAAUUCCAUGUGUAGCGGUGAAAUGCGUAGAUAUAUGGAGGAACACCGGUGGCGAAAGCGGCUCUCUGGUCUGUAACUGACGCUGA
rnacentral:rRNA from 1 species